GCGCUCUGGGAAUCGGAGGCAGAAAGAUCACAAAUUUGAGUCUUACCUAGGUACUUUAUCAAGCCCCCAUCUCAAAUAAAUUUUAAAAAGGGCUGGAGGCGUAGCUCAGCAAAAGGUAGGUUCAAUCCCUAAUAUAUUAAAAAACAACAACAACAAACCUCAGAACACUGAAAAGAGUAAGUUUUAAAGUGUGUAAGUUAUACCUCAAUAAACUCGAUAAGAAAAGAAAAAGAAACAAGGGUGGAAGACUGGAAGGCUAGGAGAAAGGCAGAGAGGAAAAGAAAGCCAGCCCUGGGAGGUCCCUAGGUGGUAGAGAGCCUGCAGAGGUUGGUAGGGACACAAACAGCCACCUCUUCCAGGCUGGGGGCUUUGCCCUUUCCUGGUGAGGAAUGUGGGCUCUGACGUCAGCAUGUGAGCAUCCCUGGACCCCCACUUUGGAGCCCCCACUCUGAGCCUGAUCAGAGCACCGCCUCAGGGAAUGCCCGCCCUGCCAGCUUGUUACCCGGAUACUGGGGGUAAGGCAUUUCCUGCCUAGAUGUCUUAGCGGCUCCCACUGCCAUGGAGACCAGCUUAGGAGCUAAGGGGAGCUACUCUGGCCCAGCAAGCACUGCAGGAAGAGGCCAGGGGUCUAGGACUAGCAGAGCAGGUGGCUGAGCUGGGACCCGGUCGUGAGACCUUCACGUGUCCACAUCUCCUCAGCAGGACCCGGCCCUGAAGUAGAUCUCAGGCCCAGGCCCUUUCAGGUUGGGGAAUCCGGAGGUGGAGGAUCAAAGCGCCCCCCCCCACAUACACCCGUCCAUCUGUCUCCUCCCCGCCUCCGCAGCCAUGUUUAUCACAGUGAGGUUUGGAGCUGGCCACGGGGAGCUGGUCAACCCCUGGUGCAGCCUGGUGACCCUCACUGCCCACCUGAAGCAUAAGGGGCAGGUGCCCCCAGACGCAACCAUCGCCCUCUUGGCUGAGGAUGGGCACCUGGUGCGCCUGGGCGAGGACCUGGAGAAGGGGACUUCCUCAGCCCCUUCCAUGGGUAGCCCCCUGCUGCAGGAGCGAGGGACCUAUGUUCUCGUGCAAAUUAUCAGAGGGGAAGGCGGAGCCCCUACCCGCUAUGUGUCCCUACUGGAGAACCUGGAUGACUGGUAUCCUGAGCUGGCAGAAGAGCUGCACUGGCUGUCGGGCCUCCCAGCUACGGGUAACAGCAGGAAGAGACGCAUGGGCAAUCGGCGUGGCCAGAAGGAGCAAGGCACUUCUUCCAGGUCCCGAAGGAUGGGCUCACUGACAUCCAGGACCCGCUAGCUGGGACCAGGAGUGCAGUAUGAAGAAGGUAUGGAUGCCCAGAGGCUGAAGUAGGAAUCCCUUCCCAAGGGACAGACAGGACACCCACUACCACCGCCC